rnacentral:tRNA from 1 species
GCGGAGGUGGCGUAAUGGCAGCCGCGCACGUUUGAGGGGCGUGUGGAGAAAUCCGUAUGGGUUCAAGUCCCAUCCUCCGCA